AAUGGUUGGAAAUCAUUCAUAGAGUGUAAAGGCAUAAGGGAGCUUGACUGCGAGACCUACAAGUCGAGCAGGGUCGAAAGACGGACUUAGUGAUCCGGUGGUUCCGCAUGGAAGGGCCAUCGCUCAACGGAUAAAAGCUACCCCGGGGAUAACAGGCUUAUCUCCCCCAAGAGUUCACAUCGACGGGGAGGUUUGGCACCUCGAUGUCGGCUCAUCGCAUCCUGGGGCUGUAGUCGGUCCCAAGGGUUGGGCUGUUCGCCCAUUAAAGCGGUACGCGAGCUGGGUUCAGAACGUCGUGAGACAGUUCGGUCCCUAUCCGUCGUGGGCGUAGGAAAUUUGAGAGGAGCUGUCCUUAGUACGAGAGGACCGGGAUGGACAUACCUCUGGUGUACCAGUUGUCGUGCCAACGGCAUAGCUGGGUAGCUAUGUAUGGACGGGAUAAGUGCUGAAAGCAUCUAAGCAUGAAGCCCCC
rnacentral:rRNA from 1 species